CGCUGGCGGCGUGCCUAACACAUGCAAGUCGAACGGGUUACGAGAGCUUGCUCCUGUAACUUAGUGGCGAACGGGUGAGUAACGCGUGAGAAACCUGCCUCUCAGUGGGGGACAACAGUUGGAAACGACUGCUAAUACCGCAUAACACUUUAGUACCGCAUGGUACAGAAGUCAAAGCUUUAUGUGCUGAGAGAUGGUCUCGCGUCUGAUUAGCUAGAUGGCGGGGUAACGGCCCACUAUGGCGACGAUCAGUAGCCGGUCUGAGAGGAUGAACGGCCACAUUGGGACUGAGAUACGGCCCAGACUCCUACGGGAGGCAGCAGUGGGGAAUAUUGGGCAAUGGGGGAAACCCUGACCCAGCAACGCCGCGUGAAGGAAGAAGGCCUUCGGGUUGUAAACUUCUUUUACCAGGGACGAAGAACGUGACGGUACCUGGAGAAAAAGCAACGGCUAACUACGUG
rnacentral:rRNA from 1 species